UGGCAGGUAUAAUCUGUUAUGUAUCAUAAUAUCAGUUAUAGAAAAAUCUCAUAGUCAUAUGCAUGCAGGGACCAAUCAAAUAAAGACAAUUCAUUUUGAAAUUGUAGUGGACAUUUGGCUUUAAUGACAGAGUUAAAAUUUCUUGUUUUACAGGUGAGAUAUGGAGAAAUUAUAACUUUCACACAAUUCUGGCUGGCCGUUUUUGAGCUUGUUAUGUGAAAUUGAUAGUCAUUCAUCCUUGUUUCCUUACUACAUGUACUAAGGCUAGUUUUUUGUUUGUCCAUCACAGUUUAUUUCAAGAGUCCUCUAGUUUAUUUUUUUGAAGUGUUAGCUUAUUGCGUGUGAACAACAAGACUUUAUGUUCCACUUUUACAUAUAUUUCCUGUGACAGUCGAAUCAGUCAUAAUAAUAUUUCCCCUUUUUGUAUUCAUUCUAACCACCUUUAAAUAUUUUUAUUGUUUUGCAUUCAUUUCAUAUCUUUAGUUUCGCGGUCAUUUGAAAUAUUUAAUUCAUGUUUAUUUGAUAUCUUUUCUUUAAAAUUCAUUUGAUAUCAUUCAUUUCAUGUUCUUUCUUGUCUUUCAAUAUAUUUUGUUUCAUGUUCAUCUAUUAUCUUUUGUUUCAUAUUAAUCUAUUAUCUUUUGUUUCAUAUUAAUCUAUCAUCUUGUGUUUCAUAUUAAUCUAUUAUCUUGUGUUUCAUAUUAAUCUAUUAUCUUACAAGUGUUUCAUGUUUGUUUUAUAUUCAUCUGAAAUCUUUUAUUUUAUGUUCAUUUGCUAUCUUUUGUUUUAUGUUUGAUAUCUUUCCUUUCAUUUUUUUUUUAUAUCUUUCUUCUGUUUAUUGAAUAUCUUCCUUCUGUUUAUUGAAUAUCUAUCGUCUGUGUAUAGUUGAUAUAUAUGUUUAUCUGUUUAUUUCAUAUUUAUUCAACUUUUAUUUCAAUUUUUGAUAUCUUUUACUUCAUGUUCAUUUGAUAUCUUUUAUUUCAUGCAUUUCAUUUGAUAUCUUUCUUUUCAUGUAAAAUGCAUUCAUUUAUUAUCUUUAAUCUUUUCACAGCUGUUCCUUUGAUAUCUUUCUUUUCAUGUUCAUUUGAUAUCUUUCUUUAUUUCAUGUUCCUUUGAUAUCUUUUUUCAUUCAUUUGAUAUCUUUGUUUUAUGUUCCUUUGAUAUCUUUCUAUUUCAUGUUCCUUUGAUAUCUUUUGUUUCAUGUUCCUUUGAUAUCUUUCUGUUUCAUGUUCCUUUGAUAUCUUUUGUUUCAUGUUCCUUUGAUAUCUUUUGUUUUAUGUUCCUUUGAUAUCUUUUGUUUCAUGCUCAUUUGAUAUCUAGGACACUUGGUUUGUGUGCACAUAAUACUGGUUUUCAGGGUAUCUGGCUUUUGCAUUGUUCCUUGCUGUUUGGGUCAAAAUACAGAUUCUUUGUUUACAAUGUAAAACGGGUUAAAUAACUGAAGAAUGUUUUCAUUCUGUCUUGGUACACAUUUUCAUUUGAGUCAGCUAAGUUUCUGGUUAUCAUUUCUGUGAUGGAGAAUGCAACUUUAUUAAACCUGAGGGAAGGUUGACAUAAAGCUGUUUUGGUUUCUCUGUUUAGGCCUUUUAAGUUUGUUCAUGUUUUAUUUAUUUGGCUUUUCAAAUAAGUCUCAAGCUUAAAUAUCUAAAGAAGAUUAUUCCAGAAGUAUGUGUUGGGCACAAUAAUGGGGUUUAGGUUUUUUCAAAUAGCUUUCACUGUACAUAAAAGAAGGUCUAUACACCUGUAUGUAUUAUAAGUUUACCAGGUAUAUAUUUUGUCACAUUGACUUAUUGAGAACCAGGAAGACAUCCUUAUACAAUAUUAUAAUGCCUUGUUCAUGUCAUUCAUAUAGUCUGUAUAUAUAGUCUGUAUAUAGAUAAUUGAAAAGGACGUAACCUUCAAACAAAUCUAUACAUUAUGAUCACAUGAUGCUGAAAGAAUUGCAAUUUGUUGUUUAUUUUAAGACCUCACUGCUGAAAAGAUUUUGUUUAAAGACAGAAUUAAAAUUGCAUCAUUCAGUUGAAAAUAUUAAUUUUCUUGUCGGGUGAUCAUGUCACUGGCUGAUCUAGAACUUUUUGUAAAAGAGGAGGGGGGGGGGCAACUUAAGGGAGUUGGGAGCACUCCCCUCAUGCUUCAGUGAUUCCCUAUAUAAUCAACCAAAUGUUUCCCUAAUAAAGGGGGGGACCCCAGCCCCUCAGGAUCCACCUAUGCAUGUGAUAUCAUUCAAUCUAUCUUAUAUAUAUAUAUCUAGUGUGUUGGGGAAAAAUACAAAUCUGUAUUGUUUGCAUACUUUUUACAUGUUGCUAUGGAUGACAUCUCUACCUGAAAGCAAAAUGCAAAAUUCUUGGAUUUGAUCUUGAUUAAAGAUUUAGGACUUGUGUACAAAAAAAAAUGGUUUCUUCAUAAUCAAUUAUUACCAUUAUUCCUUUCUUUUUGAUCUGUUUUAAUAUCAUUGUCUUUAGAUAAAUGCUGUAAUCUGAAAUUAAACUGCAGUUAAUGCACAUUUUACAGGUAAUUUUAAUUUGAUUGAUGUGAUUUGGUGCAUCUGAUGUACAUGUAUGUAUAUAAUUUUUGUUCAUGCUGAAUGCACAUAGAUAAUGCACAUUGACAUUAACUUGGUAUGACAGUCACUUCCCUGUCUAAUUUAAUAUAAUAAGAGAUAAAAACAAAAGGCUUUUUAUCUGUUUACAUGAUGCUACAAAUAAAAAGUUUGAUGAAGAUUGAAAAAAAGGGGGGGGGGGGAGUUUUAAGAAAAGUGUUAAAUAUGCUGUGUGUCAUUUAGGGAUUAAAGUAUUAUAUAUCAUCCACAGUAGCCUCCAUUUAUUCACAACUUUUCUUGAGAGGUGAAUAUAAAUCUUAACAUAUACAGUUUAUUGCUAGGCAUUUGUCAAUUAUUAAGACUAUGUUGUUGGAUACAAAAAAUUGGCUGUCUGGUUGAUGUAUACAAAUUCACAUCUCUUUCCAUUAUUAUACAUUUACAACGAUAUCUGAGUGUUCAAAUAAUUAAAUUUAAUAUAUUUAUUAGGAUAGAUUAUAAAGGAGUAUACUGAUAAUGUUUUUUUCAAAUGAUGCUGCACAUUUAAAUGGAUUCUAGUUGAGUAUUGUAAAGCUUUGGAUUCUUUCCUUCAAAAUAAACCAUGAAAUGCCAUUAUAUUAUUUAUUAUUAUGCAGUUUUAAAUACAUAGGUAUAGUUACCACUUUUCCAUUAAGAUUUUUGAAUGUCUUAAUUCAUUCAAUGUAAAAAAAAAAAAAACCUGGCUCAAUGCAGAUCCAAAUGUCAAUAACAUAUUAGGUCAGGAUCACAGACUUAAUAAUAAUAUAAAUAUAAGUGAUCCGUGACCUCCAGAUUUCUCCAGAUUUUACAGAAUGCAUAGAAAUAAUUCAGAUAAUAUGAUUUAUCUCCCUUGUCAGAUUUGCAGCAAGUUUUGUAUGCAAUUAUGUGAAGGUAUGUCCAGGGUUAAAACUUGCUGAAUCAGGCAUGUAAACAUAGCUAAAAUUAAAAAAAUAUUGAAGUGAAUUCUUGAAAGUAUUGUUUCCCUGAGUGAACUCACAACACAAUUCUAACGGAAAAUAAAUUUAAUAAAGUGAUAAUUUUCCUUUUAAAAAUUGUAAAACAAUAUAAAUUAAAUUGAAUGUUUAAACAUGAGAUUUUUUGUCUACAAUGUGUUGUAAACAUAUGAUAACGGUUAUGAUUUGUUUCCUGAACACUCUAGUGUGUGGUGUCUGUUGGCCAAAAUCCACAUACGUAAUAUCUUUUUACUCAAAAAGAUUGAAAUAAGACAAGGGGCUUCUUGAGGGAAAUGCUUAAUUUGAAUUUUCUAAGUGUAUCAUUUCAGUUAUUGGUCCUUAUUCAGGAGUUGUGCACCUGUCCAGGAAAAUAAGUUUUCACAAAGCGUAUCUUUACUUUGUGAAACUUAUUUAAAAAAUUGGUACUAAGCAUUGAAUAAACACUGAACGCUUUUAUGUACAAUAUAUCUGGACAUAUUGUAUUGGUCUGUAUUUUAGCUGCAUUAUGAUAAAUGAUAUUCCAAGCAAUGCUUAUGCUGAAGAAUAAUAAUAAUAAUGUGUCCAUAGUACAUGAAUGCUCUUCUCGCUCUAUCAUUUCCUAUGUUCAGUGGACUGUGAAAUUGUGGUCAAAGCUGUAAUUUGGCAUUAGAAUUAGAAAGAUCAUAUCACAGGGAACAUGUGUAAUAAGGUUCAAAAUUGAUUGGACUUCAGCUUCAUCAAAAACUACCUUCACCAAAAACUUAAAGCUGAAUCAGGACAGAGGAAUGGAUGAACAAAGGGUCACUAAAAGAGGGACGACAGAUACCAGAGGGACAGUCAAACUCAUAAAUCGAAAAUAAACUGACAAAGCCAUGGCUAAAAUGUAAACAAACAGACAAACAAUAGUACACAUGACACAACAUAGAAAACUUAAGAAUAAACAACACGACCCCACCAAAAACUAGGGGUGAUCUCAGGUGCUCUGGAAGGGUAAGCAGAUCCUGCUCCACAUGUGGCACCCGUCGUGUUGCACACUGACAUACAGACUGAAAAAAAAAAGCCUCAAAUUGGGCAUAAAAUGGUUAAGGCCGAGGAAAUAAUGUUCAAUAUUGAGAAGAAUAUCACCUCAAUUAUAAACUUUAUUAAUCAUUUUUUUUCAUCAUAUUCUAUUAAAUGUUAUUUUUAUGUGAUUUUUUUUUAUUCCAUAUAAUAGAAAAUUACAUUUUUGUCUUCUCCAGAUUGUAAUGCAAUUAUUUCUUAUUGGAUAUUUAUUUUGUAAGUUUGAGCAGUGUUGUAUUCCACUUGAGAAAAUAUUCAACCAUAUUUAAAAGUGCAAAAAUUCUAUAUGGUGAUAGAAUCCAAUAUUACUUAUAGUGCAAUAAAUCUUAUAAUAUGACAGAAUAUGGAUGCAUCUUCCUAAGCUAGAAUGUACAAAAUUUUACAUCAAUUUAUUUAUCUAUUGAAUGAAUUAGCCUAUAUAAUUUUGUUCACUCUACAUUUCAGCUCUGAGGUAUAUGUACCACAAUAUGCUGUAUUUGAAAAUGUCUUCCAGCUAAAAAUUUCCAGUGGACAGAGCACGGGGGGGUAACUUCGAUACUUUCUUGGUAUGGGUGUGCCAUUUGUGCCUCAAAAAACGUACCCAUUUUAAUAUAACAUUCACUGAAAUUCAGUACCUAUAGUUAUAUAAAUAUUUAAGAAAGAAUGACUUAUACUUAUAUACAAUAAUUAACUUGACCCAUGUUUAUAUAAGCACUAACUCACCGGGGUUCAUUUGGGAACUUAUUUGAAAGCACUUUGUUUGAAAGGUGAACUUUCAAAUGAAUUAAUUUAAUUUAAUAUAAUAAUUGACCAUUAAUAAUGUAUGAUUCUCAAUAGCAUAUUUAUAUAUGAUAUGUAGAUCAUACCCCAA
rnacentral:lncRNA from 1 species